rfam:Nicotiana attenuata strain TT chromosome 3, whole genome shotgun sequence.
CCUCAAUAUUGGGUUGUUGACAAGGGGCUGUAGUAUGUUCCAAGGGUUGGGCUUUUCGCCCAUUAAAGCGGUCCGUAAGCUCGGUUCAGAACAUCGUGAGACAGUUC